rnacentral:rRNA from 1 species
GAUGAACGCUGGCGGCGUGCCUAAUACAUGCAAGUCGAGCGAACAGACGAGGAGCUUGCUCCUCUGACGUUAGCGGCGGACGGGUGAGUAACACGUGGAUAACCUACCUAUAAGACUGGGAUAACUUCGGGAAACCGGAGCUAAUACCGAAUAAUAUAUUGAACCGCAUGGUUCAAUAGUGAAAGACGGUUUUGCUGUCACUUCUAGAUGGAUCCGCGCCGCAUUAGCUAGUUGGUAAGGUAACGGCUUACCAAGGCAACGAUGCGUAGCCGACCUGAGAGGGGGAUCGGCCACACUGGAACUGAGACACGGUCCAGACUCCUACGGGAGGCAGCAGUAGGGAAUCUGCCGCAAUGGGCGAAAGCCUGACGGAGCAACGCCGCGUGAGUGAUGAAGGUCUUCGGAUCGUAAAACUCUGUUAUUAGGGAAGAACAAAUGUGUAAGUAACUAUGCACGUCUUGACGGUACCUAAUCAGAAAGCCACGGCUAACUACGUG